rnacentral:rRNA from 1 species
AUUGAACGCUGGCGGCAUGCCUUACACAUGCAAGUCGAACGGUAACAGGUUAAGCUGCCGAGUGGCGAACGGGUGAGUAAUGUAUCGGAACGUGCCCAGUCGUGGGGGAUAACUGCUCGAAAGAGCAGCUAAUACCGCAUACGACCUGAGGGUGUAAGCGGGGGAUCGUAAGACCUCGCGCGAUUGGAGCGGCCGAUAUCAGAUUAGGUAGUUGGUGAGGUAAAGGCUCACCAAGCCGACGAUCUGUAGCUGGUCUGAGAGGUCGACCAGCCACACUGGGACUGAGACACGGCCCAGACUCCUACGGGAGGCAGCAGUGGGGAAUUUUGGACAAUGGGCGCAAGCCUGAUCCAGCCAUGCCGCGUGCGGGAAGAAGGCCUUCGGGUUGUAAACCGCUUUUGUCAGGGAAGAAAAGGUUCUGGCUAAUACCUGGGACUCAUGACGGUACCUGAAGAAUAAGCACCGGCUAACUACGUG